rnacentral:rRNA from 1 species
CAGUCGCCACGGGAAUACAGAGGGUGCGAGCGUUAAUCGGAUUUACUGGGCGUAAAGCGUGCGUAGGCGGCUUCUUAAGUCGGAUGUGAAAUCCCUGAGCUUAACUUAGGAAUUGCAUUCGAUACUGGGAAGCUAGAGUAUGGGAGAGGAUGGUAGAAUUCCAGGUGUAGCGGUGAAAUGCGUAGAGAUCUGGAUGAAUACCGAUGGCGAAGGCAGCCAUCUGGCCUAAUACUGACGCUGAGGUACGAAAGCAUGGGGAGCAAACAGGAUUAGAUACCCCUGUAGUCCCUGUCUCUUAUAC